GCAGUUGAGCGCUGAAGGUUGGUACUUGUACCGACUGGAUGAGCAGCGAACGGGUGAGUAACGCGUGGGGAAUCUGCCUUUGAGCGGGGGACAACAUUUGGAAACGAAUGCUAAUACCGCAUAACAACUUUAAACACAAGUUUUAAGUUUGAAAGAUGCAAUUGCAUCACUCAAAGAUGAUCCCGCGUUGUAUUAGCUAGUUGGUGAGGUAAAGGCUCACCAAGGCGAUGAUACAUAGCCGACCUGAGAGGGUGAUCGGCCACAUUGGGACUGAGACACGGCCCAAACUCCUACGGGAGGCAGCAGUAGGGAAUCUUCGGCAAUGGACGAAAGUCUGACCGAGCAACGCCGCGUGAGUGAAGAAGGUUUUCGGAUCGUAAAACUCUGUUGGUAGAGAAGAACGUUGGUGAGAGUGGAAAGCUCAUCAAGUGACGGUAACUACCCAGAAAGGGACGGCUAACUACGUGCCAGCAGCCGCGGUAAUACGUAGGUCCCGAGCGUUGUCCGGAUUUAUUGGGCGUAAAGCGAGCGCAGGUGGUUUAUUAAGUCUGGUGUAAAAGGCAGUGGCUCAACCAUUGUAUGCAUUGGAAACUGGUAGACUUGAGUGCAGGAGAGGAGAGUGGAAUUCCAUGUGUAGCGGUGAAAUGCGUAGAUAUAUGGAGGAACACCGGUGGCGAAAGCGGCUCUCUGGCCUGUAACUGACACUGAGGCUCGAAAGCGUGGGGAGCAAACAGGAUUAGAUACCCUGGUAGUCCACGCCGUAAACGAUGAGUGCUAGAUGUAGGGAGCUAUAAGUUCUCUGUAUCG
rnacentral:rRNA from 1 species